GUGACAUUGGCGUAAUGGUAGCGCACUUGACCUUCACAAGUGAUAUGAGUUCGAUUCUCAUAUGUCACA
rnacentral:tRNA from 1 species